GAUGAACGCUGACAGCAUGCUUAACACAUGCAAGUCUUUGGCAAAGCUGUGCUCGCACAGCCUAGCCAAGGCGGACGGGUGAGUAACGCGUAAGGAACUUGCCCUGCAGUCAGGGAUAACAGACGGAAACGACUGAUAAGACCUGGUAAAGUCAGGCGGACUCAUGUCCAGCCUGAUGAAAAGAGAUGCUUCAGCAGAGCCUUGCGUCCUAUUAGCUUGUUGGUUGGGUAACGGCCCACCAAGGCGAUGAGAGGUACCCGGCCUGAGAGGGUGGACGGCCAGAAGGGGAAUGAGAUGCAGCCGUAGGGACUACGGGAGGAAGCAGGGAGGAAUAUUGGAGAAUGGGGGCAAGACUGAUGAAGGAAUUCGGAGUGGAAGAAGAAGGUUUUCGGAAAGAAAAGUGGUUGAAGGAAGGAAGAACAAAAUGACGGUACCUAAAGAGAAAGCGACGGCUAAAUACGUG
rnacentral:rRNA from 1 species